CGCCGUCCAGUACGCUGACACCUCCACUCCGGUGUGUACGUGUGAUAAUACUAGGUGUCCAGCUGUUUUAAUCUGUGAUAUAAUUACCGUAGGAGCCAGUGUAGACUAAGUUAAGUGGGAUCCGACUACAAGACAAACAGACAAGAUGGUGGUGUCGGAGGGAGCCAUCAACAACAUUAUGGGUGGGAUGGAGAACACGGCCGGGGUCAGACUCCACUCCCACCGUCACAAGCUAAAACAGAGGUUCGACAUUAUACGGAAGUUAGGUCAGGGAACUUACGGCAAAGUGCAGUUGGCGGUUAACAAAGAAACGGGGCAAGAGGUUGCAAUCAAGACCAUCAAGAAGGCCAAAAUUGAGACAGAACAAGACUUGAUACGCAUACGGAGAGAGAUUCAGAUCAUGUCAUCAGUCCAACAUCCUCAGAUCAUCCAUAUUUAUGAAGUAUUUGAAAAUCGGGAAAAAAUGGUGUUGGUGAUGGAAUAUGCGGCGGGUGGAGAACUCUACGAUUAUCUUAGCGAGCGCAAGGUGCUAUCGGAAGACGAAGCUCGGAGAGUGUUUCGUCACGUUGCCUCUGCAACAUAUUAUUGCCAUAAGCAUAAAAUCUGCCACCGAGAUCUCAAAUUAGAAAAUAUCUUAUUGGACUUGGAAGGUAAUGCCAAGAUUGCAGAUUUUGGUCUUUCAAACGUGUUUGAUGAAAAACAUCGGUUGGACACAUUUUGUGGGUCUCCUCUUUAUGCAUCACCAGAAAUUGUUAAAGGCAUCCCCUACACUGGACCAGAAGUUGACUGUUGGUCGUUAGGAGUUUUGCUGUACACACUUGUGUAUGGUGCCAUGCCAUUCGAUGGCUCGAACUUCAAGCGACUGGUCAAACAAAUCACACAGGGAGAUUACUACGAGCCUAAGAAGCCUUCUCGUGCCUCUGACUUGAUCCGACAUAUGCUCACGGUGUCGGCCACUAAACGAGCCACAAUAGAGGACAUUUGUAAUCACUGGUGGGUCAACGAGGGAUUCUCAGAGCAAUGUUUGGAAGUGGCCGAGGCCCUGGCUAACCAAACUCCCGUCCGCCUUGAUCUGCUGCUGUCACUCGCCCCAAAGCACAUCAAUUCAGAGCACAUGCUCAUCCAGCCAGAAGAAGAUGACAGUGCCAGAUCGCCGCCUACCUCAGAGGUGACUCGACCACCCCCACAGCUCCAGUUGCCUCCUCCACCUCCGUCUGACCCUCUUCCAGUUGCUCCAGCACGUUCAGCUUCCCUUGGUGCAGUCACGUCUAUUAAUCACAAUGAAAUUGAAGCUUUGUUGGCACAGAAAAUACGGGAAAAGAAGGAGAAGGAGAAGAAGAGAAAAGCCGAUGAAUCUGGUACUAUGGAAAAGAAAAAGAAAAGAGAGUCUCUGGUAGAGGGAACUCCCAAACCUAGUCGUAAAGAACGAAAGUCAGACGUACACUCACAUGCAGGAGAGUCGGGAAGUAGUCGAAGACCUCCAGUCAUACCAGACAGCGACUUAUCCGAGCGUAAAAAGAGCGUGAAAAAGCGAGAACCUGUAGUGGACGACGAUACUUUAGAACACGAUAGAAGUGAGCGUUCAGAACGGAAAAAGAGUGUUAAAAAGCGUGAACCUAUAGUUGAUGGUGAUAUUAGUGAUCUAAGUGAAAAGUCUGAGAGAAGAAAGAGUGUGAAAAAGCGAGAACCUUCAGUAGGUAAAGAUGUUAGUGAGAGUGACAGAACAGAGAGGAAGAAGAGUGUAAAGAAGCGAGAUCCAUCAGCUGAUAAGGACAUUAGUGAAAGUGAGAGAACAGACAAAAAGAAAGUUGUGAAAAAGAGGGAGUCUUCUGUGACUAGAGAGUUAAUUGAUGAUAAAGUAGAGAGGAGAAAAAGUACGAAAAAGAAAGAGUCAUUGAAGGAAAAGACUCCUAUUAAGACUGAUAGUGAAUCUAUUACUGAACCUUCACCUGUGAUAAAUGGGGAAAAACAUGCAUAUAGUAAAGCCGAGAUGGGUAAGUCACGGGACAUACAGAUGGACACAUGUGAGGACCAAUUCUUGAGUCAGAGCCAAAAGCCUCCCCUACCCAAGGACCAAGUUAUAGAGCAGGUACAACCUCCUUCAUCCAAUGAUAUGGAACUAUGUAGAAGUAACAGUGCAAAGAGUGAGAUUAAGGAGAACUCAGGUCAACAGUCUGAACAGGUAGAGCCCAUGGAAACUGAGCCAGUCACUCCCACGACAACGUCCCCGGGACCCACGAGAGUGUCAGCGAGCAUGAGAUCAGUGGGGUCUGCUGCUUCCAAUGACAUAACCCUUAAGGCCUCUGAUUCUUCACUCUCCAGGGAGUCUGUUAGUCCAAUGAAGACUGAGGUAGGGGCAUCCCCCCAGCCUCAUGACACGCCAAAGAAAUCAUCAUCGCCCAGUCAGACUCCACAGGUGAGAAAAGUAAAGUCAAAGUCAUUAGUAAAAGCUUCCUCUAAGAGUAAGGUUGAGGCCAGGCCAGUGGAGGUAACAACCACCAACAGUGAAGUUAGUAGAGUAGUUCCAUCACCUAUUCCCAGGGUAGAUGAAACAGAAAAAAUUUUGCAAGAAACUGCAGAUAUAAUUAAACAUGCAGAAGAGUCAAACAUUCCUGAUACAUUAAAAACAGGAUAUGAAGAACCUCAGGUCAAAAGGGAAGUAGGUGGAGGUGUUGUGCGCAAAGAAUGUGAGUCAGUCAGUGACGUUCGGCAGAAGGAUACUGAAUCAACUGGUGAGUCGGUCUCUAGUAAAGAUGUUAGCCAGUCAUCAUCUAUGUUAUCAACUCCAACUCGAAGUCGAGCUGGUUCAGAGUCAUCCACAGAAGCUCGGCCGCCCCGUACAGACUCGGCAAAGAGACAGUCAAAGAUUUUUAAGGCUGCUGCCAUGUGGGAGAACCAAGGUAAUACAACUCAACCCCCAAUUGAGAAACUCAAGAAGCCAGUCAGAACUGCGGGAAAUGUCAUGUCCGACCUAGCAAGGAAGUUUGAGGAAAAGCCAUUAGUUGAUCGCAAGAGUAAAUUGGUACCCAGUUUUAAGGUGUCUGAUGCUAGGAAAGCCUUUGAAACUAAACCAGCGGAGAAACCCACUGUUAUUCUGCGGAGAAAGUCAACUGCAGAAUCACUGCCAUCUUCUCCCACUAACAAGGAUGGUCCUCAGAUACCUACCACUCUCUCGGGACCAAUACCUUCCCGUGAUGCUGUCAGGGAUGGAACACCUGUCAAAGAAGCUUCUUCAGUAAAAUCUAACAAAGAGAAAUCACCAAUCAAAGAGAAAUCUCCUGCAAACAGCCCAUCAGAAGAAAAAAUAGUUGAAAAUGACAUUGAAAAGGAAAAAUCACCAAAGAUAAUAAAGGAAUCAAGUAGCAAAGAAACUACCAUGCCAACAUCUCCCAAACUGCCAUCAGCUGAGGCAGAGGUCCAAAGAGUUGAGGACAAUAACGUGUUAUUAACCGAUAAAACAGAGAAGAAGAAGCACAGUGAAGCUGCAAAGAAGGAAAAGUUAGGAGAUGCUAAAAAGACAAACAUGGCAGAAAAAUCACGUGCUGGUACUGAUGAAAAAUUGGUUACUCCAAAGACUUCCACACACACCAUAGAAGUGAGCCCAAGUGAGACAGUGAUGAGAUCUGAAGAAGAGAAGGCAGUGGUUGUGGGUGGUCUCAACUUGAAACUUGGAGGUGUUGGAAAAAUAUCUGAAGUUGGAACAAAGCAAGAAGUACUGAAAGCUGAGUCAUCCGAUUCUUCAGAUUCAGAAUCUGAAGCGGAAAAACUUCUCAAGUUGGUGUCAGAAAAACGAGAGAAGGUCGAGGCUGCAAGACAGGAAAAGUUGCGCAAAGUCUCUGAAGCUAAAGAUAGAGAAUACAAGAAAGAUAUGCCAGCCAUUAGAGAAGAAGCACAGUUAAAUUCACCCUCAAGCUCACCAUCAAAGUCUCCUGAAAAGGAUGUCAAGUUACCAUUACCAGAAACCCGGGACUCGGCACCAGAGCAGAAGUUUGCCACACUACCACGAGGAUUCAAGGCCAAAACAUCACGACCAGCUGCUGCUGCUGGGCCUGCUCCAUUGCCUCCUAUAGAAAAGAUAAAGAAAGAUGACAAGAAAGAUAAGACCAUCAACCAAGAAAUUGAAGGAAUGAUGUCGGCAAUAAAGGCCGUGGAUCAGGCCAUUACUAAGGAAGAGCAGGAAAUCAAGAUGCUACGUGAUUCCUUGGCUCGUAAUCUUCCUGAAAAUAUUGAGGAAGAGCAAAUCAAGUCUCAUGAGGGAUCAGCCUCACCACAUCCUGAACACAGCCCUGUUACCAAGGAGACUGAGGCCAUCCCACCGGAAAAGGUUCUCACGCCCUCAACUGGAGAUAUACCGGUGACUACCAGUACUUCAGGCACUAGUGUGCCGCAGGGGCCAGGUGAGACCACCCAGAAGGCACAGGAAGCCAAGGAUGUUGACCGUAAGAAGACAAAGCUGGAAAUUGUUCUGAACAACAAGAAACCAGAUGCCCAGGAGCCAGACCUAAUCAACAAGAGGGCCUCAUAUGCUGAAAUCAAGCUGACUUCUCCCACCUCCAAAGAUACCCCAAAGACUCAGGAGUACAGAUCAGAAGUCCGACACAGUGUAGGACCCGCCCAUGGAAUGGGAGAGGCCCAGCUGCAGAGAGCAAAGAGAGAGCGCAUCAUUCCCAUCAUGCUUGAGGAUGAUGAUGAUGAUGAUGAUGAUGAUGACCUCACCACAAGUGAGAACCUUUCCCGCACUGAUAGGCCUGUAGGCACCUCAGGAUCAAGGGUCACAUCACCACAGCCUUCACAGCUUCCAAACAGACGCACCUCUGACCCACGAUCACCCAUGUACAAUCCCUCACCCGAACCAAUAAGGAAGUCUCGUCGGGAACGAAUUAUUCCAAUAGCAGUUGAGGGAGAAGGCAUCGUCACUCCUCCCCCUCAUGUAGAAGAAGCGGCAGAACUUGGAGCAGCUCGGGCACAUCAAGCAUUUUCACGCACUUUAUCAGGGAGACCCACAGCUCUUAAUGGAAUGACAGAAGGUGAGGGGGAGAGUGAACCACUGUCACCCACGGGCACUGUGUCCUGUCCUCCACUACCUCGUAGGGCUCCGGCUGACCUUGGUCCGGUGCCCGUGUGGCAGCGACGCCUCUCUCACACUAACAGUCGAGGGCGAGGAUUCCUUCUGGAUCACAGUGAAAGCUUCAGUUCAGCAGGAGAAGAAGAAGAAGAAGAUGAAGAUGAUGGUUUCCAAAUCCUCACUGCUGAAUCCCUGUUUUCAACUCUACUUAACCGAGUCCGUUCAUUAACUCGCAAGAUGAAUGCUGAUGAAAUCCGAAAUGAAAGGAGCCGCCGAUCAUCAAAUCGACCCACUCCAGAGCCUAACAUGGCUCCCAGCAGUGCAGGAAUUGGAGCAGCUCACUCAGCUUCCUCUGGCUUUUGGUCAUCUCUCUACAACUCCCCUCGAGACUCACCUGCCAGGAGGAUCUCCGAGACAAUGUCGCGUAGUAGCCUCGGGCGAGAUGAUGACACAUUAGGGGGACUCAGCUCUCCACUGUGGACACGCAGUGUUUCCCGGGACACCUCUGAUGCUGACACACUGUUCUCAGAAGCCUCGACUCCAUUUGGUACACUGCCGAGAGGGUGGCGGGCAUCCCGGUGGUCAGGCGGUGAUGAUGGAGGAGAGUCUGACACAUCUGAAGCCUCUGCCCGUUCCCUUGGUCGUCGGCCACAGUUUUCCCGUGCUCCUUCCCGAGAGCUACACAACAUCCCCGACGAAGAGCUGGGGAUGAUGGGCAGCAGAGGGUACCCAGGAGGUGGCAUGUCACUUCCUCGUCCAUAUCCUGCUAGCAGCAGCGGAAAUCUAACUCAAAAUAGAGGUAUGCACGACUCUGCAGACCGGAUAGCAGCAAUGUAUGGAACACUGCGGAGUCAACAUCGCCGCCCCCACUCUACUGUGGGUGGCCAGCCGGGGGAAUGCAUUGGGAGGGAUGGUGGGCUUUGUGAGCAGCAGCUACAGCGACCAGCUCCGCUGAACACUGCUUCUCACACUUGUGUGCAAAAAGACCAGCACACUUCACAGCUUUCCCCCAGCGGCCAGUCAUCAGAAGACACAGAGGCUCUGAAGCAGAGUGUGCAAGAACAACUGAAACAGCUUGUGAGAGAGCUAGAAGCUGGAGAAGAUGAGGCCCCUGAGGUGCCCAAACUGCCAGACCAACAACAACUGAGAGGUAACAACACACACUCUGAAAUGUUUUCACCAACUCGUGGUUUACCAGCACAGUUUUCUGGUACACCAAACACUUCAUCAACACGAACUUUUUCUCCAAACACACAAAUGUAUUGUUCUGGCAAACCAAUGUACUCCUCUAACCCAGCACUCCACAUCUCCUGCACACCAAUUCAACGUUCUUCCACACAAACACAUUCUGAAAGUACUACUGGAUACCAUGGAACACCUCCAGUUAUGACUAACAACAUGAGAGCAAACAGUGAACAUGCAACAAGACUAAGAAAAAACCUGGGCUUUGUAAAUAAGGCAGAAGCAAGUGAUGCAACAGUAAUUACCUCAGCUUGUGGAGUGACAAACACUGUACCUGCCAACAGUGCCUCUACAAGUAAUAUUCCAAUGCUCCGUACUGAUGCUGGGGCGAGUGACCGCAAGAACCGUGCACUUUCCGUCCAUCCAACACCUAGUGAUCACAUUGGUUAUAAUACCAUCCUAGACAUCUGUCGAGAGGGGGCAAUUAGUCCUUCAAAUAGUGACGGUGUUCCUGAAAGUGGUGGCAUUCGACGAGCUUUAUCCUCCCGAGAGGAAUGGCUUAAGUCUGGUAACACAUUUGUUAAAAGUGCUGACAAUUCUGCCCUGGAUGCCUACAGACGAUCUCGUGGGAAAGUUAAUAUACAUGAACACCAAGGAGGAAAACCUGAAGACAUAUGCUGUACCACCGACAGCCUGAGUCGUGUGGAGUCUCAACAAAAUAGAAGUGUCCCUAUUCAUUCUCUCUUUAACCGCCAGUAUUCAUCCGAUAUUAAAACUAAUGCACCUCUACCUGACACAAAGACCUAUGGCAAUGAUAUGGUAAGUGUUAAUAAGGAAGCAGCAAACAACAACAUAAACAAUCAAGUUAUGGCAGUCAGUUCUAUUAACAAAAAUAAAAAUGAAAAUAAUAUCAUUGAGAAUUGUAAUGUUAAUGAAUCAGUUAUAAGAAACAGUAACUUGACAUCAAAUGAUAGUAACUUAACAUCAAACAGUAUAACUAAAGCAAAUAACAACAGUACAAACAAUGUUCAAAAUAACAACAGUGGCAUUGCAACAAGUCGCUCAACCAGCGGCAUUCCUGUGAAGAGUAACAGCCGCAGCAGCCUCAGCACUCGCAGCAGCUACAGUGGCAAUAGCAGCAGCAGCACAAGCACUAAAGGAACCAGUGAUUUUCUACAACUUAAGACAUACCGGAAAAGUAAAUCAAGAGAAUUGACGCCGGCAAUUGAAGCUGCCGGGGAAAAGUUUAAUCAACUUAACUCUGGCUCACUAAAGCGUAUUUCACCUUUUGAAGCUUACCGACGCAAUAAAUCCCGUGAACUGCCAAUAGAAGCUGUCAAAAAAGAUCCCCCAACUGUGAGAUUAAAAUCACCACUGCCUGCUCCUGAUCGUUCCAAAUCGCCAUUUGAAAAGGCAAGAACAUCCAUUGAGAAGAAAUUCGAUCAUGCAAAAUCACCAGAAAGAGCACCAAACCAAAACAAUGAGGGUGCUGCUAAUCCUAUCCGUGCUCCACCCACACCUAACUUGAACCAGUUAUCAACUUGUAUAGCAAAAGAAAACAAGAUUAAUAAAUCUGAAGAUGAAACUGUUGUUCAAGAAAAGGAAAGGAAGACAGAACACAAAAAUCAUAAAGACAAAGAGAGAUUCAUAGAAAAGGAUUUAAACCAAGAGGAAGUGCAAGUAAAAAAGAAAGAAAAUGAAAAAGAGAAGGAGCUGAACAAAGACAAUGAAAAGGACAGAGGCAAAGUAAAGAAAACUUCCUCUUGUGAUCCAGAGAAACCUAAAUCUAUGUACAAGUUACUUGCUUCACGAUUUAAUCGAUCUGGUUCCAGUGUUUCUGACAACACUCGUUCAGCAACAGACAAACGACCGGAAGACGAUGAUGCACCUGAAAAAGAAGAAAAAUUUCGACUAAAAAGGCCCUCGCGGUUCCUGAAACACAAGACAGAAAAAAGCUCUUCUAAAUCCAGUGUGUGUGAAGGAGAUGGGACUCUAGAUGAUUCAGAGAGACCUGAGAGGAAGCCCUCAAAGAAACUAACAGAUGCACUUAAUAAAUUUCUAGGCCGUAAAGAUACAAAAGAAGAAUCCCGAACAUCACUAAACUCAAUGUCUCAACCUUCCAUACCCACAGCAAGUGCUGAUGAAGAACAUCCUAAGAAACCACCUCGAAUGAAAUCCAAGAAAUUUUCAAAAAGUCAGGAAAAUCUAUUUUUAAGUCGUGUAGAGGAGGGCGGUGAAUUAGGGUCAGGGUCCCCUCUCACAGAACGGGCACAGAGUGUUGUCCCAGAGGGCAGCCCUGCUAACUUACAACCUAGUUAUACUCUUGAAUCAGUGACAAAGAGUAUCUGUGACCAUCUAUCUCAACUUGAAAGUGAUAUUACUUCACGUAUUGGCAACAUGGGUGUUCAGGAGUCUGGGGCUGGAGUGAAAACAUCCGGAGGUUCUCGUGUAACUCCUGCAGUUUCUUCUGUGGGUUCAAUUACAACCUAUGGAUUGUCACCGGCUUUAGCAAGCCGCAGAAAUGGUCGACCUACCAAUCUUGAUUUGGCUGCUGCAAAUAUAGAUAAUCACCAUCCACCUACGGUUCCAGCGCAAACAGUAGACAAGAACACAAAAACAAGUUCUAAUCACAUUCCCAGCAAUGAGGGUGAAGGAGUCAAAUAUGCCCAAAUCAAAAAGCUGGCUGGUAGUGGGAAUGUUGACCCACUACAAGAUGGAAAUCAUUCUCAAACACAAUUAAGAGAAUCUUCUACAAUUGGGAUUGAGGAUCCUAGAGGACUAAGUGAAAAUGAGGAUGAAAGUGUCAUGGACAGAAUCACAAGGAAGAGUUACUAUUCAAAAUUUCAAGAUAAAAAGAAGCCAAAAUUACGUAGAGCAAAUACAAAAGAAGACAUGGACCAACAGUUAGCAGCAGCAAAGGCUCGUCUCAUGAAGGAGGAAACAGAGAAAACAGUAAGGGAAUCCCUCAGUCCCCUGCGGUAUGCUUCACCAGUUACUUCUCCGAGAGCUUCUGUCACCUCUCCUCCUUCUUGGGAAAUUCCUCGAAGACACUCUAGAAAAUCUCUUCCUCCAGAGGAUCCAACUAUCUUCUUGAUGGGGGGGCGGCGAGGCAUGUCUCUGCAACCAGAUGAUCUGCCUGGCAUACGACGCUUUACUUCCGUCCAACCAGAUGACAUUCAAAGUAUACGUCGCUUACCAUCGCUGCCCCCAGAGGACCGACACUAUACCCAUAGAGCACCUUCAAUGCCUUUGGAGGAUUAUUCCUUAAAUCACCGCAUAAAGUCCAUUCCGCCUGAAGACCGCCCCUACACCUACCGAGCACCAUCCAUGCCACCUGAUAAUAUUUCAUCUAAAAGCCGUAAGAAUUCAAAUCUUCCCAAUGACUCCAAAGCACACCCGUCCAGUCCAAAUAUUGAUAAUGAAUUAGAUGGAGAACGAGUACAAGAUGCUGUAGCUGCUGCAGUUGCAGCGGGUGCACUUGCAGGAGAAGCAGCAGCAGUUGUAGCAGCAGUAGACAGUUCUACAGAGAGGGGCAGCAGCAAGUCCCGUGAGCCAUCAGUUAGCCGCCUUCGAAGUCCCGAUCCUCCAAAUCGCUUGACUCCAAGUCACGAUGAUACACGUAACCUUGCUCGAGAAGAACUGUCACGACGCCUUACUCACCUGACACGUAUAUCGGGUACCAGUGGACAAUCUGGCUGGAACCGAGGAGGGUUAAAUGGAGGGGGUAAGACUGGUGACGUGGGUGAGAAGCGAGUUUAUCGGCGCACCAAUACUACCGGUCACCUGGGAGAAGCACUGCCUGGAAUUUCACAAUCAGGUGUCAACCCAGGACUUUCUGUAAGACCAGUGUACCGACGUACCAAUACUAUGGACCUGCCACCAGCAGAUGCUCGAGCUCGACCAGGUAGUGAGUACCGGCGACAGCUGCAAGACCCUGCGCGCCGUUUCUCAGCCGCAAGGUGGGUGCCUUGAGGAGUACGUGUCAUGCUGCCAAGGCAGAACCUUCAACACGCCUGGCAGCAAUUCAUCACUUCACACUUAUCACCAGUAGAAGCAAUACUAGCAGUACUGUAGUGCAACUACCAUCUACAGUAGUUGAUUGAGUCAUCAAUACCAAUAGUAGAAAUAACAGUAAAACAGCGUGGCUUUACAAGUGACCUUUAGGGUCUACGUUUCAGCAGUAGAUACUCCCACAGAUGAUCUGUAAAUGGUGGUUUUUUUCCUGCGAGAAGGCCCCAUCCAUUGCGUUAGUGGACACUAGUGGAAGAAGAGGCCCUCCCCACAUCUUCACCUCGGACACCUUCUUCCCGUCUCGUCUCUCCGUCCUUCAGCUCAUCGUUGUCAUCCCAUCGCAGUUACUCGAAUAUGGAUCCUCCACGCUAC
rnacentral:misc_RNA from 1 species